GCCCUUUAUAAAAUCUGAAGAAAUAAACUCUAAAAUCAUGGGUAGUUAGGGUUUUGAGGCCUUACUACUACGCCGACUUGCUUUUCUGGGUAUGGAAGCAAAUUACAUGAGAGAAACAUGUUGAAAAACACGCCACACACUGACCUUUAACCAAAUCUAGGUUCCUGUAAGUUGUAGAUGACGGUUUUGGCAGCGGAUAUGAGAGAAUGGAGGAUGAGAGAGGACUUGGGAAGCCAUGCAAUUGGUUGUUACGAAAAAGAGCACUGUAGUAGCCGUUGCGUUUUUUUUGGAUUACUUAUGGAUGUUUUGGCACACUAACAUAUAGCAUUCUUUUAUGUAGAUUGUUUAGCUGAAGCUUAUUAUAACACACACGAGAUCACCAGUGAAAUUACAUGAACUCGAACUCUUGAAAGUUGGUACGAGUAAGUUGGCUUGAGUUGA